rnacentral:rRNA from 1 species
CCUACGGGGGGCUGCAGUGGGGAAUAUUGGACAAUGGGGGCAACCCUGAUCCAGCCAUGCCGCGUGUGUGAAGAAGGCCCUCGGGUUGUAAAGCACUUUCAGUGAGGAAGAACGCCUGGUGGUUAAUACCCAUCAGGAAAGACAUCACUCACAGAAGAAGCACCGGCUAACUCCGUGCCAGCAGCCGAGGUAAUACGGAGGGUGCGAGCGUUAAUCGGAAUUACUGGGCGUAAAGCGCGCGUAGGUGGCUUGAUAAGCCGGUUGUGAAAGCCCCGGGCUCAACCUGGGAACGGCAUCCGGAACUGUCAAGCUAGAGUGCAGGAGAGGAAGGUAGAAUUCCCGGUGUAGCGGUGAAAUGCGUAGAGAUCGGGAGGAAUACCAGUGGCGAAGGCGGCCUUCUGGACUGACACUGACACUGAGGUGCGAAAGCGUGGGUAGCAAACAGGAUUAGAUACCCGGGUAGUC